rnacentral:lncRNA from 1 species
AUGUCUAAGAAGAAUCUGAAGUGCCAAUUUCUGUUUCGAUGGAGUAGUUGUGUCUGCCCUGCAGUGCUGGCCUGCAUGGCCCUGCAGACAGCUGAUUCUUCUCCAAAUCAAAUCAAUUGGCUGUCACGACAUCACCACUGCCAUCAACAGUCUCCUCUGUCACAUGCUCAUGCUCACACGGAUCUCUUUAGACUCACGGAUGCAUCACAACGACCACACGACCCUAACUGCUGUAGGCACAGGAGAUGCACACGGAGUGAGCUCCACCUAGCUACUGCUGUUCUAGUUCCAUCCUCCUGCCGUGCCAGGACCCAUGACUUCUUUUUUGUUGUGGUGGUUAUUUUUUGUUUCGUUUUUUGUUUUUGGUACCGGGGAUCGAAUUCGGGACCUUGCGCUUGCGAGGCAGGCGGCGGAACCACGGAGCUGAACCCCGGGCACCCCAUGACUUCGUCUUAACCAGCAGAACACGACGUGACACUCCCUUUAUUACGUUACUUCAUAUGGAAAAGGUUAAGUGUGUUCUGUAAGUGUCAUCAUUAUACUGAAUCUACUCAUUUCAAAUUAACACAAAGACAGAUCACCCUGCUGGAUCUUAGAGCACUUCAAAGAAUGGCUGGAACUUUCCUCACGACGACUAUUCUCCCUUGCUCUGAAGAAGCCCUCCACCAUUAGCUCUGCAGCUGCAAAUAAUACUGAACUCAGACUCUAGCCUGAGGUUGACUAGAUCCCUGGCCAAGUCUCCCGGGUGAUACCGAAGCUCAGCCGACAUUUACCUUGCAGCUGAUCAAGAGACCCAGCUGAGCCACGCCUGGCUCGCAGAAACUGCUGAACUACACACGCAUCUUGCUUUACACCAAGUGAGUUUGCGGUAAUUUGUUACAGGUAAGUGAAAAACUAGCGCAACAGCAAUGAUCGUGUGUAGAAGGGUCCUUGACCUGAGUUUUCUUUUCCAGUCAUGCCCGUGUUAGUUGCCAGUCUCUGUGCUUCUGUGUAAAUUACAGAAUCUACUUGAAAAGUUAUCAGUAGACAGUAGUGGUAUGUUUAUCACAAUAUGUUAUUUGUCUUCGUGUAGUUCAUUGUGGCUACCUGAAAGUAGGGCACUUAAGAGACAGUCUUUGUCCUCCUGAAAUUUUACCUAUUUCAAUUCAUAUAUCUUACAACGAAAAACUGAAUUUCUUCCAAAAAGUCUUAGGUCAUCUUUUGUUAGAUUUAAUUCUUGAUAAAAUGUAUAUUUUUAAUGCUCA